rnacentral:tRNA from 1 species
UGGGCUGUAGCUCAGCUGGCAGAGUGCUUGCCUGGAGAGCAUGGAGGCCUGGGUUCUAUCCCAGCAAAGCAU